rnacentral:rRNA from 1 species
UACUUGUACCGACUGGAUGAGCAGCGAACGGGUGAGUAACGCGUGGGGAAUCUGCCUUUGAGCGGGGGACAACAUUUGGAAACGAAUGCUAAUACCGCAUAAAAACUUUAAACACAAGUUUUAAGUUUGAAAGAUGCAAUUGCAUCACUCAAAGAUGAUCCCGCGUUGUAUUAGCUAGUUGGUGAGGUAAAGGCUCACCAAGGCGAUGAUACAUAGCCGACCUGAGAGGGUGAUCGGCCACAUUGGGACUGAGACACGGCCCAAACUCCUACGGGAGGCAGCAGUAGGGAAUCUUCGGCAAUGGACGAAAGUCUGACCGAGCAACGCCGCGUGAGUGAAGAAGGUUUUCGGAUCGUAAAACUCUGUUGGUAGAGAAGAACGUUGGUGAGAGUGGAAAGCUCAUCAAGUGACGGUAACUACCCAGAAAGGGACGGCUAACUACGUGCCAGCAGCCGCGGUAAUACGUAGGUCCCGAGCGUUGUCCGGAUUUAUUGGGCGUAAAGCGAGCGCAGGUGGUUUAUUAAGUCUGGUGUAAAAGGCAGUGGCUCAACCAUUGUAUGCAUUGGAAACUGGUAGACUUGAGUGCAGGAGAGGAGAGUGGAAUUCCAUGUGGU